rnacentral:rRNA from 1 species
AGAGUUUGAUUCUGGCUCAGAACGAACGCUGGCGGCGUGGAUAAGACAUGCAAGUCGAACGAGAGAAUUGCUAGCUUGCUAAUAAUUCUCUAGUGGCGCACGGGUGAGUAACACGUGAGUAACCUGCCCCCAAGAGUGGGAUAGCCCCGGGAAACUGGGAUUAAUACCGCAUAAAAUCGCAAGAUUAAAGCAGCAAUGCGCUUGGGGAUGGGCUCGCGUCCUAUUAGUUAGUUGGUGAGGUAACGGCUCACCAAGGCGAUGACGGGUAGCCGGUCUGAGAGGAUGUCCGGCCACACUGGAACUGAGACACGGUCCAGACACCUACGGGUGGCAGCAGUCGAGAAUCAUUCACAAUGGGGGAAACCCUGAUGGUGCGACGCCGCGUGGGGGAAUGAAGGUCUUCGGAUUGUAAACCCCUGUCAUGUGGGAGCAAAUUAAAAAGAUAGUACCACAAGAGGAAGAGACGGCUAACUCUGUGCCAGCAGCCGCGGUAAUACAGAGGUCUCAAGCGUUGUUCGGAAUCACUGGGCGUAAAGCGUGCGUAGGCGGUUUCGUAAGUCGUGUGUGAAAGGCGGGGGCUCAACCCCCGGACUGCACAUGAUACUGCGAGACUAGAGUAAUGGAGGGGGAACCGGAAUUCUCGGUGUAGCAGUGAAAUGCGUAGAUAUCGAGAGGAACACUCGUGGCGAAGGCGGGUUCCUGGACAUUAACUGACGCUGAGGCACGAAGGCCAGGGGAGCGAAAGGGAUUAGAUACCCCUGUAGUCCUGGCAGUAAACGGUGCACGCUUGGUGUGCGGGGAAUCGACCCCCUGCGUGCCGGAGCUAACGCGUUAAGCGUGCCGCCUGGGGAGUACGGUCGCAAGAUUAAAACUCAAAGAAAUUGACGGGGACCCGCACAAGCGGUGGAGUAUGUGGCUUAAUUCGAUGCAACGCGAAGAACCUUACCUGGGCUUGACAUGUAAUGAACAACAUGUGAAAGCAUGCGACUCUUCGGAGGCGUUACACAGGUGCUGCAUGGCCGUCGUCAGCUCGUGUCGUGAGAUGUUUGGUUAAGUCCAGCAACGAGCGCAACCCCUGUUGCCAGUUACCAGCACGUAAA